AGCUGCGUGGUGAACACAAAGCGAACUAUUCUUUCGCCUUUUACUAAAGAAUACCGUGUGCGCGCCACAUUAAGCAGCAUACCUUUAUUUUUGGAGGGUGCUUUUCCUAUCAGGAAAGGC
rnacentral:snRNA from 2 species